CACUCCCGCCGGAAGCUCCGCCUACGAGUCGCAGGAGCGCAGCUGUGGAAUCUCGCGAGGGUAGCUUCGGGAGUCCCCACUGCAGCUGCGGGGCGCGGGUCUCUGCCGCGGGGACUGACUGGGCGUUUCCGUUGCCGGCGUCUCGCCGCAGCAGAGGAAUGCUUCCUGGUAUCAGCACUGCUGUGGCUCUGAGGGUACACAGACUGUCAUCCAGGCUUCAGGUCUCCAGGGUGUUCUAAGAAACUCUCGAAUUCCUUGGCUCACUGCCUCUUCCUCCACCUUCAAAGCCAGCAUCAAGGUACCUCCCUGCACCACCUUCUGCAACUCCACCCUGCGCCUGGAUGAGCCUGCCCUCUUUCCCUUUAAAGAACCUGGUAAUUACAGGGAGCCCAGGUGAGUAGUCCAGGCUCCUCCCCGCCCAAGGGGCUGCUGCUGAGGGGCCUGAGCCCUUUGUCCGGUAAAGCAGCCCGCACAGGUUCCAGGGCUCAGAGUGUGGGCAUCUUUGGGAGGGGCAGCUGUUCUGGCUCCUCCACAUUUUCAAAAUCAGCCUGUCCCUUUUCGUCCCUCUUCCUUCCCUUUCCUUCUUCCUUUCUCGGUGAAGAGCAGCGUUAUCUUGCUAUUCCUCUGCAUCACCUCAGCCAGACAUGUGGAAACAUCCUCGGUUCUAGCCUCUUCGAAGCCUCAGUUCCCGGUUAGGCCCGUGCCAGGUCUGCAGCCACCCCCACACCUCUGGAGAUGCUGGGAGGGCCCCUGUUUCAGCGAGGGGACGGGUGAGUCGGGGAGAGCGCCUCCCUCCUCCCAGACAGCACGCAGCCCAGUGUGGGACUCACCUCUGCGCCCGCCCCCGCCCAGUAAGCCCCAGUCCCUUCCUGAGACGCCGCCUUCCUUUA